rnacentral:rRNA from 1 species
UGGGGAAUAUUGCACAAUGGGCGCAAGCCUGAUGCAGCCAUGCCGCGUGUGUGAAGAAGGCCUUCGGGUUGUAAAGCACUUUCAGCGAGGAGGAAGGUGGUGGACUUAAUACGUUCAUCAAUUGACGUUACUCGCAGAAGAAGCACCGGCUAACUCCGUGCCAGCAGCCGCGGUAAUACGGAGGGUGCAAGCGUUAAUCGGAAUUACUGGGCGUAAAGCGCACGCAGGCGGUUUGUUAAGUCAGAUGUGAAAUCCCCGGGCUCAACCUGGGAACUGCAUUUGAAACUGGCAAGCUAGAGUCUCGUAGAGGGGGGUAGAAUUCCAGGUGUAGCGGUGAAAUGCGUAGAGAUCUGGAGGAAUACCGGUGGCGAAGGCGGCCCCCCUGGACGAAGACUGACGCUCAGGUGCGAAAAGCGUGGGGAGCAAACAGGAUUAGAUACCCCUGGUAGUCCACGCUGUAAAACGAUGUCGAUUUGGAGGUUGUGCCCCUUGAGGCGUGGCUUCCGGAGCUAACGNGUUAAAUCGACCGCCUGGGGAGUACGGCCGCAAGGUUAAAACUUAAAGGAAUUGACGGGGUCU